GUUGAAAACACCGCUGCAUGUCCGAUCACCGAAGUUAAGCAACGUCGAGCCUGGUCAGUACGUAGAUGGGUGACCACUUGGGAAUACCUGGUGCUGUAAG